GACGAACGCUGGCGGCGUGCUUAACACAUGCAAGUCGAACGGUAAGGCCUUCGGGUACACGAGUGGCGAACGGGUGAGUAACACGUGGGUGAUCUGCCCUGCACUUUGGGAUAAGCCUGGGAAACUGGGUCUAAUACCGGAUAGGACUACGCACUGCAUGGUGUGUGGUGGAAAGCUUUUGCGGUGUGGGAUGGGCCCGCGGCCUACCAGCUUGUUGGUGGGGUGAUGGCCUACCAAGGCGACGACGGGUAGCCGGCCUGAGAGGGUGUCCGGCCACACUGGGACUGAGAUACGGCCCAGACUCCUACGGGAGGCAGCAGUGGGGAAUAUUGCACAAUGGGCGCAAGCCUGAUGCAGCGACGCCGCGUGGGGGAUGACGGCCUUCGGGUUGUAAACCUCUUUCAGCACAGACGAAGCGCGAGUGACGGUAUGUGCAGAAGAAGGACCGGCCAACUACGUGCCAGCCGCCGCCGUAA
rnacentral:rRNA from 1 species